AACGUAGGUGGCGAGCGUUAUCCGGAUUCACUGGGCGUAAAGCGCACGCAGGCGGCAAGGUGGGUAGGGCAUGAAAUCUCCCGGCUUAACUGGGAGGGGCUGUCCUAUACCGCCUAGCUUGAGGGUAGGAGAGGGAAGUGGAAUUGCCGGUGUAGUGGUGAAAUGCGUAGAGAUCGGCAGGAACACCAGUGGCGAAGGCGGCUUCCUGGCCUACACCUGACGCUCAAGUGCGAAAGCUAGGGGAGCGAACGGG
rnacentral:rRNA from 1 species